AUUGAACGCUGGCGGCAGGCUUAACACAUGCAAGUCGAGCGAGCGGCGGACGGGUGAGUAAUGUAUGGGGAUCUGCCCGAUAGCGGGGGAUAACUACUGGAAACAGUGGCUAAUACCGCAUACUAUUGGAUGAACCCAUAUGGGAUUAGCUAGUAGGUUGGGUAAAGGCUCACCAAGGCGACGAUCUGUAGCUGGUCUGAGAGGAUGAUCAGCCACACUGGGACUGAGACACGGCCCAGACUCCUACGGGAGGCAGCAGUGGGGAAUAUUGGACAAUGGGCGCAAGCCUGAUGCAGCCAUGCCGCGUGGAUGAAGAAGGCCUUAGGGUUGUAAAGUACUUUCGGCGGGGAGGCGUUACCCGCAGAAGAAGCACCGGCUAACUCCGUGCCAGCAGCCGCGGUAAUAC
rnacentral:rRNA from 1 species